UUCCAAACAGGAGCAGGGUGACAAAUUUUUACAAACAAAGCCCUCUUUUUUUUGACUGGUUCUCCUUUUCUCUCUUCUAAUAUUUUUCUCUUUCUAGUCUCUCUCCCGUCUUCUCUGCUUCAACUCCCCCUUUACUUUCUUGAAACUUCGGGCAAAUCCUUUUGUUGAAUCCAUCAUCAUCUCUCUCUCCGUCCGUCAUGCACGUGCCGUCGCUCUCGGAUUUCGUUUAUGCUCUCUGGAUUCUGGGCUCGUUCUGGAAGCGGGCGAGUGGGCUCGUAGUGGAGUUUGCGAGGCUUUAGAGCGGCUGGUCUUGGUUGUAUUCGUGGAUUUUUUGAGUGGGGUUCUGGGGAUCUGGGUCGGGAGCGCUGGCUGCGAUUCCGGGCGUCGGGGUUGUCGUAUUUUGAUGGCAAUGCGCGAGAGAUGGGGAGAAUUUUCGUGGAAGCACGGCCUGCUGCGAGUUUUUAAUUGUCUCGGGCAUUGAGAUCGGGUUCUUGGUGAGCAUUGGGUUGGGCGAUCCGGGGGAGAGUCCGGGGUUUUAUGGCGUUUCUUGAGGUAUCAUAGUUUUGGACGUUGGAAAAAAGUUUCUGUUUUAAACAUGUCUUUUCGAUCUUUCUGACAGAUUAUGCCAGUGUCAGAUUCAUUAUUUUGACCGAAAAAUUUAAUUUUGACGACUCUAAAUUGAUCUUCUCUUUCCAAGUCCACUGUCCUUGAUGUAAGAUUUGUGAUGUCUUUUAGGUUCUCUCUAAGGUUUACGAAGCCUGGUCCUGUGUUAAAUCCAGAUGUCAGGCCUCUGGUGAAAUCUGCCGCGCCACCAGUUUUCGAUUGCUAGUUUUUUCUCAGAAUACUUCAAAAACUUAGGAUGCCAGUAGAAUCAUGUCUUGUUUCUUCUUUGCACUCGGGUUAUAUCCAAUUUAUGGAACUUUGAAGUAUACUAUUGGAGGAAAAAAAUGGUUUUUGUGCACUUUUUGAGGCAUCAAGCAGAGGCAUUCAAUAUGAUUUAGACUUCUCUAUUUUGAGGACUGAUCUAUUGCCGAUUUGGGUUCAUCAUUUUAGGUUUUGAGCAUCAAUUUGCGGCUAGAUUUAGACAUCUGUGGUUUUGAGGACUCAUGCAUCCCAGCUUUGGGCUUCAUCUAUUUUAGUAAAUAUAUAUCAAGAGUAUAGCGAGGGCACUGGGAUCAGGUCUUUUUCCUUUUUGCCUAUUGGUCGGUGUGGUUCUUUCAGUGCUUGCUUUGAAAGGUAGUGCUUUUGGUUCUGCAAUGGGGAUCCAAUGUUUCUUUCUAGCUCUCUGAUUGAUGGCAGGCCUUUUGCACCACUUUUUCUUGCAAAUACUUGAGUGAGUGGGUGUUGAGAGGAUCUGGUGGAGUUUGAAAAAUUCUAAAAGUUGGAUUAGUAGAUUGGGGCUCUGGGUCCUCUCUCACGAGAUAUAGGCUCCCAGUCACAAGAAAAGUGUUGGGAACUGUUCAUAUCCCCAACUGUGUGACAAUGACUGUUGCAUGCUAGUUUAUUGAGUAGUAGAGCCUUAUUCUUUUGUGUGUUCGUGGAGUAGUUUUAUGGAUUUUGGGGAUUCUCUUGGAGAGAGGGAGCAGAAGAUCAGAGUUACUCCACAUUGCGUUCCCAACAUGGGUCAUUCCGUGACUGUUUGGGAUCAGAGAUCAGAGAUUGAAUGUACAAAGGACUGGAAUGGAAUCGAUCAUGUCACGCUUAAAGCGCCGCGAGGAGCUUCUGCUCGAGUUAGUUUGCAUGGAGGGCAGGUUGUUUCAUGGAAAAAUGAACGGGGUGAAGAGCUGUUGUUCACUAGCAGUAAGGCGAUCUUUAAGCCACCAAAAGCAAUGCGGGGAGGAAUUCCUAUAUGCUUUCCGCAGUUUGGUAACCGUGGUUCACUGGAACAACAUGGAUUUGCAAGGAACAAGACAUGGAGCAUUGACAAUGAUCCUCCACCUUUACACCCCAAUGAUAGCCAUGGCAAAAUUUCUGUUGAUCUGCUGCUUAAACCAUCAGAAGAUGAUCUGAAGUGCUGGCCACACUGUUUUGAGUUUCGCCUUAGAGUAUCUCUUGCAAUGGAUGGAGACCUCACGUUGAUAUCACGAAUUAGAAAUAUUGAUGCGAAGCCAUUUAACUUCUCAUUUGCUUAUCACACGUACUUAUCUGUUUCUGACAUCAGUGAGGUGAGGAUAGAAGGUUUGGAGACACUUGAUUAUCUGGACAAUCUUUGCCAACGAGAGCGCUUUACAGAACAAGGAGAUGCCAUAACAUUUGAGUCUGAGGUUGAUCGUGCUUAUCUUGGUUCUCCAAAUGUAAUUGCAGUAUUUGACCAUGAAAAGAAACAGACUUUUGUUAUAAGAAAGGAAGGGCUGCCAGAUGUUGCUUGAUGUUUUUCGAUGUACAAUAAAUUAAGAGGGUGUGCUGCAUAAUUUAGCUUCAUCCACAGAUGAAAAUGUGGCGGGAAGCAAUUUGUCUGGAAUCCAUGGGAGAAGAAAUCCAAAACCUUGGUUGAUUUUGGAGAUGAGGAGUACAAACAUAUGCUCUGCGUAGAUGGUGCUGUGAUCGAAAAACCAAUUACCUUAAAACCAGGCGAGGAAUGGACAGGACGGCUGGAGCUCUCCGCUGUUCCUUCCACCUAUUGCAGCGAUCAUCUCGAUCACAUUGGGGGCCGGUGAAGACAGUUGCACCUGUUUGCGCAUUACUAUUUACCGUGUUCAGCAUUUCUACGGGAGAUUUUUAACAUGUAGGAAAUUUUCAUGACAUAGCAGUGCAUGAAAACAUCGCAUGCUAGGAUGAUGUCUUCCAUUGUUUGUUUAUGCUUAAUGGAAUUACUUGAUCCUUAUUAUAGCGUUGUAUGUUGUAACUAAGGACAGGUAGAUUGUAUAAUAGAUUCUUAGAAUAUGACGGUAGGAGCCCGGUGAUUAUGUUGCUCCUAAACUUGAUUAUAUGUUUCUCCUUCUAAACCUGCGAUUCUUCACCUGGAGUCUGCUAACUUCUACGUGCUGAAUCUGUCUCGGUCAACUGUUGCAGUCAUGGUUAGGAUGUUGUCACAGUUGCAAUUGCCUCAACCCUGAUUCUAAGUAGACGUAUAUCAUCAGAAUUAUUGUGGUUUUUGUUG